rnacentral:rRNA from 1 species
UACGGGAGGCAGCAGUGAGGAAUAUUGGUCAAUGGGCGCAAGCCUGAACCAGCCAUGCCGCGUGCAGGAAGAAUGCCCUAUGGGUUGUAAACUGCUUUUAUUUGGGAAUAAACCUUUCUACGUGUAGAAAGCUGAAGGUACCAAAUGAAUAAGCACCGGCUAACUCCGUGCCAGCAGCCGCGGUAAUACGGAGGAUCCAAGCGUUAUCCGGAUUUAUUGGGUUUAAAGGGUGCGUAGGCGGCGUUGUAAGUCAGUGGUGAAAGUUUUCAGCUUAACUGGAAAAUUGCCAUUGAUACUGCAGUGCUUGAGUAUAGAUGAGGUGGGCGGAAUGUGUCAUGUAGCGGUGAAAUGCAUAGAUAUGACACAGAACACCGAUUGCGAAGGCAGCUCACUAAACUAUAACUGACGCUGAGGCACGAAAGCGUGGGGAUCAAACAGGAUUAGAUACCCUGGUAGUCCACGCCCUAAACGAAGAUUACUCGAUGUUAGCGAUAUACUGUUAGCGUCAAAGCGAAAGCGUUAAGUAAACCACACUGGGGAGUACGCCCGCAAGGGUGAAACUCAAAGGAAUUGACGGGGA